UACAGAGGUCUCAAGCGUUGUUCGGAUUCAUUGGGCGUAAAGGGUGCGUAGGCGGCGCGGUAAGUCGGGUGUGAAAUCUCGGAGCUUAACUCCGAAACUGCAUUCGAUACUGCCGUGCUUGAGGACUGGAGAGGAGACUGGAAUUUACGGUGUAGCGGUGGAAAUGCGUAGAUAUCGAGAGGAACACCAGUGGCGAAGGCGAGUCCCUGGACACUUCCUGACACUGGAGGCAACGAAAGCUAGGGGAGCAAACAGG
rnacentral:rRNA from 1 species